rnacentral:tRNA from 1 species
UAGCACAGUGGUCAGUGCAGUCUGUCGGAAACAGAAAGGCGCGGGUUCAAUUCCCGU